rnacentral:tRNA from 1 species
GGAGAGGUGGCCGAGUGGUUGAAGGCGCGCGCUUGGAAAGCGUGUGUACGCUGAAAGGUGUACCGCGGGUUCGAAUCCCGCCCUCUCCGCCA